GAUGAACGCUGGCGGCGUGCCUAAUACAUGCAAGUCGAGCGAACGGACGAGAAGCUUGCUUUUCUGAUGUUAGCGGCGGACGGGUGAGUAACACGUGGAUAACCUACCUAUAAGACUGGGAUAACUUCGGGAAACCGGAGCUAAUACCGGAUAAUAUUUUGAACCGCAUGGUUCAAAAGUGAAAGACGGUCUUGCUGUCACUUAUAGAUGGAUCCGCGCUGCAUUAGCUAGUUGGUAAGGUAACGGCUUACCAAGGCAACGAUGCAUAGCCGACCUGAGAGGGUGAUAGGCCACACUGGAACUGAGCCAGGGUCCAGACUCCUGCGGGAGGCAGCAGUAGGGAAUCUUCCGCAAUGGGCGAAAGCCUGACGGAGCAACGCCGCGUGAGUGAUGAAGGUCUUCGGAUCGUAAAACUCUGUUAUUAGGGAAGAACAUAUGUGUAAGUAACUGUGCACAUCUUGACGGUACCUAAUCAGAAAGCCACGGCUAACUACGUG
rnacentral:rRNA from 1 species